rnacentral:rRNA from 1 species
CCUACGGGAGGCAGCAGUGAGGAAUAUUGGUCAAUGGACGAGAGUCUGAACCAGCCAAGCCGCGUGAAGGAUGACUGCCCUAUGGUUUGUAAACUUCUUUUAUAUGGGAAUAAAAUGUUCCACGUGUGGGAAUGUGUAUGUACCAUAUGAAUACGGAUAGGCUAACUCCCUGCCAGCAGCCGCGGUAAUACGGAGGAUCCGAGCGUUAUCCGGAUUUAUUGGGUUUAAAGGGAGCGUAGGUGGAUUGUUAAGUCAGUUGUGAAAGUUAGCGGCGCAACCGUGAAGUUGCAGGUGAAACUGGGAGUCUUGAGUGCAGUAGAGGUGGGCGGAAUUCGAGGUGUAGCGGGGAAAUGCUUAGAUAUCACGAAGAACUCCGAUUGCGAAGGCAGUUCACUGGACUGCAACUGACGCUGAGGCUCGAAAGUGUGGGUAUCAAACAGGAUUAGAUACCCUUGUAGUC